rnacentral:rRNA from 1 species
AUCCAGAGAAUUUAGCAGAGAUGCUUUAGUGCCUUCGGGAACUCUGAGACAGGUGCUGCAUGGCUGUCGUCAGCUCGUGUUGUGAAAUGUUGGGUAAGUCCCGNAACGAGCGCAACCCUUAUCCUUUGUUGCCAGCACGUAAUGGUGGGAACCUCAAAGGAGACUGCCGGUGAUAAACCGGAGGAAGGUGGGGAUGACGUCAAGUCAUCAUGGCCCUUACGAGUAGGGCUACACACGUGCUACAAUGGCGCAUACAAAGAGAAGCGACCUCGCGAGAGCAAGCGGACCUCAUAAAGUGCGUCGUAGUCCGGAUUGGAGUCUGCAACUCGACUCCAUGAAGUCGGAAUCGCUAGUAAUCGUAAAUCAGAAUGUUACGGUGAAUACGUUCCCGGGCCUUGUACACACCGCCCGUCACACCAUGGGAGUGGGUUGCAAAAGAAGUAGAUAGCUUAACCUUCGGGAGGGCGUUUACCACUUUGUGAUUCAUGACUGGGGUGAAGUCGUAACAAGGUAAGCGUAGUGCU